rnacentral:rRNA from 1 species
UACGUAGGGUCCGAGCGUUGUCCGGAAUUAUUGGGCGUAAAGAGCUCGUAGGCGGUUUGUCGCGUCUGCUGUGAAAUCCCGAGGCUCAACCUCGGGUCUGCAGUGGGUACGGGCAGACUGGAGUGCGGUAGGGGAGAAUGGAAUUCCUGGUGUAGCGGUGAAAUGCGCAGAUAUCAGGAGGAACACCGGUGGCGAAGGCGGGUCUCUGGGCCGUAACUGACGCUGAGGAGCGAAAGCAUGGGGAGCGAACAGG